rnacentral:rRNA from 1 species
GACGAACGCUGGCGGCGUGCUUAACACAUGCAAGUCGAACGGAAAGGCCCUGCUUUUGUGGGGUGCUCGAGUGGCGAACGGGUGAGUAACACGUGAGUAACCUGCCCUUGACUUUGGGAUAACUUCAGGAAACUGGGGCUAAUACCGGAUAGGAGCUCCUGCUGCAUGGUGGGGGUUGGAAAGUUUCGGCGGUUGGGGAUGGACUCGCGGCUUAUCAGCUUGUUGGUGGGGUAGUGGCUUACCAAGGCUUUGACGGGUAGCCGGCCUGAGAGGGUGACCGGCCACAUUGGGACUGAGAUACGCCCCGGCCCCCUCGGGGGGGCAGCAGGGGGGAUUAUUGAACAAUGGGGGGAGGCCUGAUGCAGCAACGCCGGGUGCGGGAUGACGGCCUUCGGUUUGAAACCCCCUUUCGCCGGUGAAAAAGCGUGAGUGACGGUAGGGUAUAAAGAAGCACCGGCUAACUCCGUG